AUUGAACGCUGGCGGCGUGCUUAACACAUGCAAGUCGUGCGGUAACAGGCGUAGCAAUACGUGCUGACGAGCGGCGAACGGGUGCGUAAUACAUGGGAAUCUGCCCUUUAGUGGGGAAUAACCCGGCGAAAGCCGGGCUAAUGCCGCAUAAGAUCUUCGGAUGAAAGCGGGGGAUCGUAAGACCUCGCGCUGAUGGAUGAGCCCAUGUCGGAUUAGCAGUUGGUGAGGUAACGGCUCACCAAGGCGACGAUCCGUAGCUGGUCUGAGAGGACGAUCAGCCACACUGGCACUGCGACACGGGCCAGACUCCUACGGGAGGCAGCAGUAAGGAAUAUUGCGCAAUGGGCGAAAGCCUGACGCAGCGACGCCGCGGUGGGGGAGUGAAGGUC
rnacentral:rRNA from 1 species